CCCCAUAGUGAGAGCAGGGUUUUGUAGGAAAAUGAGCAGUCACCUGCUCAUCUCACGAGAAUGGGAUGAAGUGGAGAAGGUGGUUAAAGGAGGAGAGAUUACCUUGCAAGAGUUAAAUCAUGGUGAUGGUAUUCCAAGGCCUUUGCAUAUUCAUGUAAGUAGAAAUAGGCAUUGCCUAGCUGGCUGUAAAUAGCACUGAGUGUUUUUAAAUCUUCAGUUCCAACCUGAACAGCUGCUUCAAAGAAGGACACACCAGCUCGGCAGUCCCCUGCUUUACACAGGCGCUCACCUUCCAGAGCCAGCUCUAGGCAGGAAGCCUCCAUCCUGCACAAUUUAAGUAAAAGAAAAACAGUCACUCUAGAUGCAGUGUUUUGUCCAGCAGCCUCAUUUCUACAGAAGGCAUUUGACUCAGAUCAUCGGUACCCAGGGCAAGGAGUCAGCACCACGUUACAAGCAAUGAGCUUGGCACUACAACAGUAUAGAAACUAAUGGUGAAAUGGACAUGGCAACUUCAGCUGUGAAGAGCAGGUAUAACAUGAGAACAAAUAGCUUCAGCUUUGUGUUUUCAUUCCUUUAUGUCCCAAGGAGAAAAUCCAGGCACUACCUUUGUCUAUAUAUAGCCCCUGUAGGAUUCAAAAUUGCAUUGAUUUCACCAUCUAGAUAACUUCAGCAUAGCAACCUAAAUGCUAUUCCUAGCAAAUACUGAUGUUAAGUAUGCAAGCACUUGUAUUUUCAGACUGAUGCCACAGUCACCUGCAAAAUGUCACAUGGAAGAAAAAACCAAUGCAAAUAUUGCUGUGUACCAGAGAUCAUUACUAUUUUCCCCAAAAUUGUUUCUUACAUAAUUCAACACUUCAUCAUUUCCUAUAAUGGCAAUGCUGUGAAAAUUCUGAGUCUAAAGAAAAAAGGUCUAGAUUGAGUCAACAAGAAAGUAUCAAUCCAAGUUACUCUGCUGAGAUGCCAGCAUUCCAGGAGCCACAGGAAUGGUCUUUAUUAUGAGAUUAUUAUUACACAUAAUUGUAUCAUUACACAGGUACAAGAUACUGCAAGCAGCAAAAAAGAUAUUGAUGAAUUCAUUUCUAGCAGAAUGUGCAGGCUACAUUUUAUGCAGUAAACAAAGCAUUCAGACAUAUCUUUGUUGCUGUGAAUUUCAGUGUACAAAAGGUCUCAUUUCAGUGCUAAUGAUCACGUACAAACAUUUCAGAGCAUCUUACGUAAUUGAAGGUACCCUCAUUAAGUCAUAAUUUGCUAUUUACCCAGUUGUAAGAACAAACUAUUUAUAGAAUUGAAUUGCCAAAACCAUUUCAUAUGCACAGAUCAAUAAUAGCAACAAUCAAACGUUUGUUGUUUCCUAAGUUAUUUUCAUGGCAACACCAGAAGACAACAGUUUUAAAGAGACGCAGCGAAGCAGUAUUUAACUUACCUGCAACGUUUACAGCUCUUUUUUUUCCCUAAAUCAGACAGAAGGAAGCUCCACAGCAUUCUACUGAAACCUGAGCAAGAAGGAAAUCUUUGAAAAUCCACUGACUGUCCAGAGAACAGGAAGAAUUUGGAUCGUAAGGAAAAUCAACUGCCAACACAAAACGGCAAUGCAGAUGUAUACAACCAACAAAAUAACUCUGCUUCCACUGCAAUGCUGUGUUUAGUCAGACUGAGCUUGAUGGCAAACUUAGAAACCAACACACAUUGGUACUUAAAACACCUACACACCUGAAUUGUGGAUUCUUCUGCUCCAGCCAAGAUAAAAGCAGUUACAAGGUUUUGGUGUAUGAAUUUAGCAGGCUGAGAUAAGAAAGUUCUACAAGCAUUUACUCUAUAGAUCACUUAUUAAUUUAAUUUCAUAACUUCAGUGUUUUGUUUUAGGACAUUAAAACAAAACACAGGAAGAAAAAAAAUAAUUUCCUUACACCAGCAUAAGCAUUUUUACAGCUGGUCAACUACAGCAGGGAGAAAGAAAUAGCUUGCACAGUAAGAUGCAGACACAAAGCAAAGCCUUUCCUUAGCCCACCUGCUUCAUUUUAAAGUUCUGUUGGAAUCCCAGUGGGAAGGAAAAGCAGUGUGAGGGACAAACGAGCCUGGUACAAUACUUCCGACUAAUGAGUAAGAAACUUUGGAAUGCUGAGAAGUAACACCAGUACCCUAAUCAUUUAUGACCUAUUCUUUCCUGUAUUAGAUUUUAAACUGCAACCAAAGAAGAUCUCCCCAAAUUAUAGCCAUGAAGUCACCAUAAAUGUUGAAUUAAACAUACUGAAUUUGCAGUUUAAUUUUUUUUAAAGUUUAAUGGUUGAAAAGGAAUUAAAAGGAUUAUGCCCUGAUGAUUUUAAAAUGUCCAUCAGAUUACUGCCCUUACAGAAAGGUUUAGUAAGUGCCAUGGUCUAGUUGACUGGAUAGGGCUGGGUGCUAGGUUGGACUGGAUGAUCUUGGAGGUCUCUUCCAACCUGGUUGAUUCUAUGAUUCUAUGUAUGUUUUUGUUGUUACCCAGUAUCAUUCAAGCCUAUACUGAAACACAGCACAAAGUACCCUCACUGUGCUUGCCAAAUGUUCUGAAGUUAUUUUUGGCUUGUCAGUUUACAGCAGACAAUUGGCUCCCUGGCUUUCUCCAUUUAUUGACUUCUAUAAUAGUAGUCUGAACAGCUCCUGCUUUUAUUAAAGAGUGCUCAAGGAUCUUCUGCAGCUGUCUGGGGAGGACCAAGAACAGCAGCAUGGGUAUAAUGCUGGGAGUUAGAUACAUUUCAGAAAUGCUUAGCAACGAAAUACAAUGCUCACACGUGUAGGGAUUCCUGCUGUCAAAGCCACCAUAUCAAUAUUUUAGCAAAAUAAAGACAUCAGAGAGUAAAAUACAGUUCAUUUGCUAAUUUUCUCCUUAAUGUCCAUGAAAAAGCUCCUCCUGCUAACUACACUGCUAAGCAGAAUAAACACUGUGCUCUAUGAAAUGGAAGAAAGCCAGUCCAACAGCAUGCUAACACUGCUGGAAUGUUUUCAGCAUUCAUUUUAAGCCAUAGUAUGUGAUGCCUGACAAAUUAAGGUAGUUCUCUGCUCCUGUUAGCUUACAAUGAAAAGGCCUCCAAAGCAAGGACCAGGGUAGAGGAGCACAUACCAACAAUGCUGCUUUUUAUGUGUUCUAAAACAAUUACUUCCAGUGUUCUGCUGUCCCUUCCUAUUGACCAAGCUACAUGAUUUACCCUUCCAAACACCAGCCACCCCAAACACCGCACACUCCACAAUGCCUCUGUUGUUCAGGUUCAUUAGAGUGAGUCUACAGUGCUGACGUUGUCUUGUAUCUGUAAACGGGAUUCCAGAAGGAAGAUGAUAAAUGCUCUCAGAAGGCAAAUCACAUAGCCUCUCAGCUUGCAAUAACAGUGCAUUUUUAGUCCAAGAUAUCAAAGCAGUUCCUGUCUCUCAAUCAACUCUUUUUUAAGCAAGGGAAACAUUGGUCUAGAUGACAGCACACCUAAAAAUUCAUCCUUCACAGAAGCAAUAACUGGGACAAGUGCAGAGAAUUUUGGCAGACAAAUCCCAAUAAAUUUGCAUGUGCAGCCCAAAAGACAGAAGAAGAGAGAGUAUUACCAUGCAGGGACCAUGCUUCAUAUCAUUCCAUCAGAAAUACAAAGAAAUACAGUCAUGCACUACUGUAACCACACAUGGUUCUCAUACUAUACAACCAUGGCACUACAGAAAUAUCAUCUACUGCAUAACAAAAGGAAUCUUCAUAGGUCAGAAACUGAAAAAAGGAGGUUUUAGCUUUCAGUUUCAACAAGACUAGUAACAACCUAUUUCUUACAACUUGUUUAGUUUUCUGUUAUUAAUAGCACUUAAUCAUCCACACUGAAGUUAACAGAGUCUUACCUGUAUCGCACAUGAAAGGAACGAUCUUCAGGCAUGCUUAUCGAAACAUUAUUUUCCUCCAUUGAGUUGCAUUAUCAGUAGAGAAAAUAUUGUUGUGUAGUAGGGUAAGUACUUUACUAUGGAGAUUUCUUGUCAGAACACCAUUCCAGUUAGUAUGUAUAUUAAUAAGGUGGAAUAAAGAUAUCCUAAGCUCCUGUUGAAAAA